UUUUUUCCCAUUAUCAGCUUUAAAACAUAUAAUGCAACCACAAAUCAAUGUUUAUUCCAUUAUUAUGUAGGUUAUGUGUAGGGCAUAUGCUAUUGUUUAUUUUAUAUUUUGUAUUGAAUGCCAUCACUAAUCUAUGAUUUUCCUUUCUGUCCCUACUCUCUGACAGGGUUGCCAUAAAUGUGAACGAACAGACCCCAGCAACAGAUAUACUUAGGACCUUUCAGCACCUUCAUCCCCAUUAGAGGGUUCAUUACUGCAGCAUGGCUGCAGUGGUGGCCAACCUCAGCGUCCCCUGGGGGACAGGGGUGCUAAUGGGCCUCACGGACGCUCCUAAUCAGACGGUGACUGCGUCCCCGGGGCCCGGCCGAUCUCUGGCACCUCUCUGCACCGUGUGCUGCUGUGGACUUCUCAACCGCACCCUGGCUGUGGUGUUCAUGGUCAGCCUGGCCUUUGCCAUCGUGGUGGGCAACGUGAUCACCCUCACGGUCUUCAUGCAGACGCGCCAGUCCCGCACACCACAGGGCUACCUCAAAGUGUCCCUGGCUGUAGCAGACAUGAUGGUUGGAGUCUUGGUGGUGCCAUUCUCUGUCUACACUGAGAUAUCCCUCAUGGUGACCAGCGCUCCUCCUGCGUGGUACCAGGGUGGAUCUGCAGUUACAGCAGGGGGACCAACAUCUCGCUCUUGGCAGCCCUGCAUGCUGAUUGGCCCAGUAUUCGCAGGCUGUACCUUUGUGUCAAUCAGCACCAUCUUCUUGAUGACGGUAGAGCGCAGCAUAGCCAUCUUGCGGCCGCUCCACAAGGACACUCUUGUGACCCGGAGGCGGACGCUUUUCCUGAUCCUUGCGUCCUGGGCCGGCAGCUUUCUGCUGGCCAUGGCGCCCCUACUUCUGAGCAAGAGCUUCACCCUGGAGUACAACGAGUGCAGCCGCAUGUGCAACUACGCCCCCUUACUGGUUGGCCUCCAGCUGCCGGCCGAUUCCAACAUCAUGCUGCUCUUCCCCGCCUUCGACUUCACCCUGCUGGGUGGCACCCUAGCCGUGAACAUCAUGUCCUUCACUAGCAUCCGCCGUUACACACGCAAGCGCAAGCUGCUCUCGGAGGGCAGUCUGGGCCUGGAGGCUGGAGGAACCGGAGGCUGCUCCCACAGACCGUCUUUCUCGGACAUCAAGGCAGCUAAAACCAUCGGCAUCCUCACCUUCGCCUUCACUGCCUCCUUCUCGCCUAUUGCCGUGUUUGUGCUGGGCAACGUGGUGGGCUACACCUGGUGCAACUUCUCCUUUUUCGCCUUCUGGAUCUUGACGGGGAACAGCUGCUGCAACGUGAUCAUCUACAGCGUGAGGGACCAGCGCUUCAGGAAAGGAGUGAUGCUGCUCUUUCACAAGGACCGCUCGCCCCCGCACUCGGAAAAGAGCUGAGCCUAAGUGCUCGAGCCAGAAAGUCAAGCACAGGUCUCUACCACUGCUUCACCUCCAUUUCUAACUCCUCAGCGUGAGCGACACUGUUUUAUCAGGAAUUUCUCCAACAGAGGGCUUUAAAACAAAAGCUUGCACUUCAGGGACAAAGAAACCAAUCAGCUCCAUGGAUUGUGGCCCCACUCUUUUGUUUUCACUGUCUUAAAGAGAGCAAUGUUCUAUAUUUUUAUUAUUAUUUAUUAUAAGUUGUCAUGUCAUUCAUGUUGACCAAAAUACCUGUUAGUCUAAGAGCCACCAGGAAAAAGAGAUUAAUAUUAAAUUCUGCACUUUAUUCUCACAUUUAGGGGGUGGUUUUCAGGGCACUGGUUGAGCCGAAUUAUUGACUAAAAUUAAUAAAAUUAAUUAUUUUGCAAACCCUGCUUUAUAA
rnacentral:lncRNA from 1 species